UACGUAGGUGGCAAGCGUUGUCCGGAAUUAUUGGGCGUAAAGCGCGCGCAGGCGGUCUCUUAAGUCUGAUGUGAAAGCCCACGGCUCAACCGUGGAGGGUCAUUGGAAACUGGGAGACUUGAGUACAGAAGAGGAGAGUGGAAUUCCACGUGUAGCGGUGAAAUGCGUAGAUAUGUGGAGGAACACCAGUGGCGAAGGCGACUCUCUGGUCUGUAACUGACGCUGAGGCGCGAAAGCGUGGGGAGCAAAC
rnacentral:rRNA from 1 species